rnacentral:rRNA from 1 species
AACGAACGCUGGCGGCAUGCCUAACACAUGCAAGUCGAACGAGACCUUCGGGUCCAGUGGCGCACGGGUGCGUAACGCGUGGGAACCUGCCCUUAGGUUUGGAAUAACUCCCCGAAAGGGGUGCUAAUACCGGACAAUGUCUUCGGACCAAAGAUUUAUCGCCUUUGGAUGGGCCCGCGUUGGAUUAGCUAGUUGGUAGGGUAAAAGCCUACCAAGGCGACGAUCCAUAGCUGGUCUGAGAGGAUGGUCAGCCACACUGAGACUGAGACACGGCCCAGACUCCUACGGGAGGCAGCAGUGGGGAAUAGAGGAAAAUGGGCGAAGGCCUGAUCCAGCAAUGCCGCGUGAGUGAUGAAGGCCUUAGGGUUGUAAAGCUCUUUUACCCGGGAUGAUAAUGACAGUACCGGGAGAAUAAGCUCCGGCUAACUCCGUG